UAGAAAGACGCCGUCGAGGAACAGUUUUUAACCGUUAAAGUACCCUUUAAGUUAGUAAGUUAUAUAAGCCUUAUCAAGAAGAAAGAAUACCUAAGUGGUUUGUUAUUUUUAUUUGAGUUUUGCUUAUUUGUUUUGAAUAUUGUAAAGGCCUCUUUUCUUUGUAGCACAUGUAAAAGUUUGCUAUUUUUAUUUUAAAAAAGCACAUCGUUAAUACCAUCCAAACCAUCGGAGGUCAAGCAACUCUUCAAACUGUAAGUAACACAAAUAUAAAGGAAGAAAAAAAGUAAAAACAUGUAU